rnacentral:rRNA from 1 species
UGAGGAAUAUUGGUCAAUGGACGCAAGUCUGAACCAGCCAAGUAGCGUGCAGGAUGACGGCCCUAUGGGUUGUAAACUGCUUUUAUAUGGGAAUAAAGUGAGGGACGUGUCCCUUAUUGCAUGGACCAUACGAAUAAGGACCGGCUAAUUCCGUGCCAGCAGCCGCGGUAAUACGGAAGGUCCAGGCGUUAUCCGGAUUUAUUGGGUUUAAAGGGAGCGUAGGCUGUUUGUUAAGCGUGUUGUGAAAUGUAGGAGCUCAACUUUUAGAUUGCAGCGCGAACUGGCAGACUUGAGUGCGCACAACGUAGGCGGAAUUCAUGGUGUAGCGGUGAAAUGCUUAGAUAUCAUGACGAACUCCGAUUGCGAAGGCAGCUUACGGGAGCGCAACUGACGCUAAAGCUCGAAGGUGCGGGUAUCGAACAGG